AUUUGUACUAUUCUAAAUAUAUCUAUAAUACUAAAAUUACGAGGUCCAAUUAGUCAGCCGUCAUCACGUAAAAACGACGAAUCAAAGAAUUCAACUUUAUAUACAACUAAUAUAGUACAAAGGUGUAGAUUAAAAAUUACACCACUCCAGGCCCUUUUGUUUUCCACGUAAUUAAUAUUGCCAAUAAUUAGGAAGUUCCGGGUCGAGUCCGAUACC
rnacentral:lncRNA from 1 species